UGAUGACUGAGCUGUGGACUGUCGGUAGGCUUGACAGUCUUCCAGCCUGGACGGAGACCUCCUGAGCAAUUCAGAGUGAAUGUUUUCAGAGUUAAGUACCAGGUCAUCAGGACCUCUCUAUUUUGAAAGUGGGGAAACUGAGUCCCAAGCUCGGGGUUGUCAAUAGUCAGGAAGCUCAGAUCCACAGAGAGAAGCUGGCUUCUGCCAGAGUUCCAUAUUCCUCUAGGUUUCUCCAUCGGCCACAUGGAAUGCACUAGGAGGCCCGUCUGUGUCCCUCAUUGACCCUGAAGCUACCUCCUUGUUCCUUGUGGUACCCAACAGGGCACAAGGAUAACUUCCCCAGGGGAGGUUACAGAUGUGUGUCUCUCAGCUAAGGGCAGAGCCCAGGACAACAGACAGACAAACAGAUGGACGGACGGGAGGCUCCCACUUCUUGUCACAGUCAAGUGCAUCGUCUCUGUCUGAGCCUACCAUC
rnacentral:lncRNA from 1 species